GACGAACGCUGGCGGCGUGCCUAAUACAUGCAAGUUGAGCGCUGAAGGUUGGUACUUGUACCGACUGGAUGAGCAGCGAACGGGUGAGUAACGCGUGGGGAAUCUGCCUUUGAGCGGGGGACAACAUUUGGAAACGAAUGCUAAUACCGCAUAAAAACUUUAAACACAAGUUUUAAGUUUGAAAGAUGCAAUUGCAUCACUCAAAGAUGAUCCCGCGUUGUAUUAGCUAGUUGGUGAGGUAAAGGCUCACCAAGGCGAUGAUACAUAGCCGACCUGAGAGGGUGAUGGGCCACAUUGGGACUGAGACACGGCCCAAACUCCUACGGGAGGCAGCAGUAGGGAAUCUUCGGCAAUGGACGAAAGUCUGACCGAGCAACGCCGCGUGAGUGAGGAAGGGUUUCGGAUCGUAAAACUCUGUUGGUAGAGAAGAACGUUGGUGAGAGUGGAAAGCUCAUCAAGUGACGGUAACUACCCAGAAAGGGACGGCUAACUACGUG
rnacentral:rRNA from 1 species